rnacentral:rRNA from 1 species
AGUGAACGCUGGCGGUAGGCCUAACACAUGCAAGUCGAACGGCAGCACAGUAAGAGCUUGCUCUUACGGGUGGCGAGUGGCGGACGGGUGAGGAAUACAUCGGAAUCUACUUUUUCGUGGGGGAUAACGUAGGGAAACUUACGCUAAUACCGCAUACGACCUACGGGUGAAAGCAGGGGAUCUUCGGACCUUGCGCGAUUGAAUGAGCCGAUGUCGGAUUAGCUAGUUGGCGGGGUAAAGGCCCACCAAGGCGAGGAUCCGUAGCUGGUCUGAGAGGAUGGUCAGCCACACUGGAACUGAGACACGGUCCAGACUCCUACGGGAGGCAGCAGUGGGGAAUAUUGGACAAUGGGCGCAAGCCUGAGCCAGCCAUACCGCGUGGGUGAAGAAGGCCUUCGAGUUGUAAAGCCCGUUCGUUGGGAAAGAAAAGCAGCAGGUUAAUACCCCACUGUUCUGACGGUACCCAAAGAAUAAGCACCGGCUAACUUCGUGC